rnacentral:rRNA from 1 species
CUACGGAGGCUGCAGUGAGGAAUAUUGCGCAAUGGGGGAAACCCUGACGCAGCGACGCCGCGUGGAUGAUGAAGGCCUUAGGGUCGUAAAAUCCUGUCAGGUGGGAAGAAGUGGAUAUAGAUUAAUACUCUAUUUCUUUGACGGUACCACCAAAGGAAGCACCGGCUAACUCCGUGCCAGCAGCCGCGGUAAUACGGAGGGUGCAAACGUUGUUCGGAAUUACUGGGCGUAAAGCGCGCGUAGGCGGUUUGUUAAGUCAGAGGUGAAAGUCCAUGGCUCAACUAUUGAAGUGCAUUUGAAACUGGCAGACUUGAGUACUGGAGGGGGUGAUGGAAUUCCCGGUGUAGAGGUGAAAUUCGUAGAUAUCGGGAGGAAUACCGGUGGCGAAGGCGAUCACCUGGCCAGAUACUGACGCUGAGGUGCGAAAGCGUGGGGAGCAAACAGGAUUAGAUACCCGGGUAGUC